AGCUUCAUCUCCACUCGACCAACAUGAUGCAGGUUUUCUACUGGAAUGCCGAGUUAUUUCAGGACAAGGGGGAAGAGCUACAGGCCAGUCAACAACACCAGCUGCCCAUCCCAGCAGGAUCACUCUAAGGCAUCCCCUUUACCAUGCAUCACUUGGGGCUGAAUCCUUGUGCAUUUGCUGUCUGGAGAACUGAGUAACGAAAAUGCUGGGGCUGGGCCCAAGCCUGAUAUUCAAGCAGACCUUGAUAAAGCGCUCUGAGAAAUUGCCUUGCUUCAGGCUGGGUCCCUGCCAUGUGACAAUGGACACAGCGCUGAAGAACCAACUAUGAACAAGACAAAAGAUUGCUGCCCUCAUGGAACUUUCUGUCCAGAUGGAGAGACAGACAAUUAAACAGGACUGGAGCCCUUAUAAGAAGAUGGAGAGACACCAGAGAAAUGAAGACACGGCAAGAAGGUGGCCACCUGCAAGCCAAGGAGAGAGGCCUCACCAGAAGCCCUGUUGGCACCUUGAUCUCGAACUUCCAGUCUCCAGAACUGUGAGACAAUAAAUCUAUGUUGUUUAAAAUACUUACCCUAAGGUAUUCUGUUAUGACAGCCCUAGCAGACUAAUAUACCCCCAAAUGGAAUAAUAAUAAUAAUGAUAUACAGAGAUGAUUAUGCAUCAAGCAAAGUUCUAAGUGCCAUGCAAAUAUUAAUGUAUUUAAUCUACACAGGCUACACAGGAAUUUUAUGAGGAAGAUACUUGUAUUAUUUUCAUUUUAUAAUUGAGGAAAUUGAAUUACAUAGAGGUUAAGUGAUUUUACCCAUGAUCAUGCAGCUAGUAAGUAGUGGACCUAGGAUUUGAACUAGGCAAUCUGGUUCCAGAGGGCAUGCUCUAAACCAGUAGUCUCCAACAUUUUUGGCACCAGGGGAUGGUUUCAUGGAAGACAAUUCUCCCGUGGACUGGGGUAGGGGAUGAUUUAACUGCAUUACAUUUAUUGUGCACUUUAUUUCUAUUUUUAUUACACUGUAAUAUAUAAUGAAAUAAUUAUACAACUCACCAGAAUGUAGAAUCAGUGAGAGCCCUGAGCUUGUUUUCCUGCAACUAGAUGGUCCCAUCUAGGGGUGAUGGGAGAUGGUGACAGAUCAUCAGGCAUUAGAUUCCCAUAAGGAGUGCACAACCUAGAACCCUCCCAUGUGCAGUUCACAAUAGGGUUUGUGAUCCUAUGAGAAUUUAAUGCUGUUCCUGAUCUGACAGGAGGCGGAGCUCAGGUGGUAAUACAAGUGAUGGGGAGUGGCUGUAAAUACAGAUGAAGCUUCUCUCACUUGGCCCCCCACUCACCUCCUUCUGUGCAGCCUGGUUCCUAACAAGUUACAGACCUGUGCCAGUCCAUGGCCUGGGGGUUGGGGACCCCUGCUGUAAACCACAGAUACUAUCUCUCUAAGAAGAUAUUAGAAUUAUGGUGACGUAUUUAAAUUGCAUGCAAAGAUAGUAUUAGGUGUUAUUUUGAAAGUAGGUUAAAAACAUAUACAGUGAUAUGUAUAGAUUAUGUAUAUAUAGAGAGAUAUACACACAUACAUAAUUUCUAAUCAUCAGUGCUUACAUAUAUUAUUAUUUCAUAUAUAGUUCAUAUAUAUAUAUUUACUGAUAUGGUCUGAAUGUUUGAGUCCCCCCAAAAUUCAUAUAUUAAAAUCAUAGCCCCCAAAGCAAUGAUAUUAGGAGGUAGGGCUUUAAGGAGGUGAUUAGCUCAUGAGUGUGGGGCCUUCAUGCAACUAGUACCUUUAUAAAGGAGACCCAAGAAAAACCCCAUCAUUUUUCCUCCAUGUGAAGACACAGUAAGAAGACACCAUCUAUGAAUCUAUGAGGAAGCAGGCCCUCACCAGACACCAAAUGUGCUGGUUCCUAGAUCUUGGACUUCCCAGCCUCCAGAACUG
rnacentral:lncRNA from 1 species